UGUUUCGGCAAGGGGGUCAUCCCGACUUACCAACCCGAUGCAAACUGCGAAUACCGGAGAAUGUUAUCACGGGAGACACACGGCGGGUGCUAACGUCCGUCGUGAAGAGGGAAACAACCCAGACCGCCAGCUAAGGUCCCAAAGUCAUGGUUAAGUGGGAAACGAUGUGGGAAGGCCCAGACAGCCAGGAUGUUGGCUUAGAAGCAGCCAUCAUUUAAAGAAAGCGUAAUAGCUCACUGGUCGAGUCGGCCUGCGCGGAAGAUGUAACGGGGCUAAACCAUGCACCGAAGCUGCGGCAGCGACGCUUAUGCGUUGUUGGGUAGGGGAGCGUUCUGUAAGCCUGCGAAGGUGUACUGUGAGGUAUGCUGGAGGUAUCAGAAGUGCGAAUGCUGACAUAAGUAACGAUAAAGCGGGUGAAAAGCCCGCUCGCCGGAAGACCAAGGGUUCCUGUCCAACGUUAAUCGGGGCAGGGUGAGUCGACCCCUAAGGCGAGGCCGAAAGGCGUAGUCGAUGGGAAACAGGUUAAUAUUCCUGUACUUGGUGUUACUGCGAAGGGGGGACGGAGAAGGCUAUGUUGGCCGGGCGACGGUUGUCCCGGUUUAAGCGUGUAGGCUGGUUUUCCAGGCAAAUCCGGAAAAUCAAGGCUGAGGCGUGAUGACGAGGCACUACGGUGCUGAAGCAACAAAUGCCCUGCUUCCAGGAAAAGCCUCUAAGCAUCAGGUAACAUCAAAUCGUACCCCAAACCGACACAGGUGGUCAGGUAGAGAAUACCAAGGCGCUUGAGAGAACUCGGGUGAAGGAACUAGGCAAAAUGGUGCCGUAACU
rnacentral:rRNA from 1 species